UUUCUGCAACUAUAAAUAGGUAUCUCUACCUUCAUUGUAAGACACACUAACAGAAAGAGUGAAAAAGAGUAAGGUUUCACAGAUAGGGUAUAAGAAAAUAGUUUGUGAAGAAAAUAGAGAGUGAGCGAUAUUGUAGUAAGGUGGGAAUAUCAAAAUAGGGUUAUUUUUUUUUGAGUGUUGUAGUGGUCUUUGGAGUAUUUUACUCGGAACUACAAAGUGUAAAAUUCCUUACUAUAGUGAUAUCAGUUGCUCAUCUCAGGGCCGUGGUUUUUUCCCUUAUUCAGAAAGGUUUUCCA
rnacentral:lncRNA from 1 species